AGCGGUGAAAUGCGUAGAGAUCUGAAAGGAAUAUCAGUGGCGAAGGGCGGGCCCCCCUGGGCAAGAGACUGACGCUCAGAUGCGAAAGCGUGGGGAGCAAACAGGGAUUAGAUACCCUGGUAGUCCACGCCGUAAAACGAUGUCUAUUAGGAGUCUGUGACCCUUGAGUCGUGGGUUCCAAAGCUAACGCAUUAAAUAGACCGCCUGGGGGAGUACGGCCGCAAGGUUAAAACUCAAAUGAAUUGACGGGGGCCCGCACAAGCGGUGGAGCAUGUGGUUUAAUUCGAUGCAACGCGAAGAACCUUACCUACCCUUGACAUCCAGAGAACUUACCAGAGAUGGUUUGGUGCCUUCGGGAACUCUGAGACAGGUGCUGCAUGGCUGUCGUCAGCUCGUGUUGUGAAAUGUUGGGUUAAGUCCCGCAACGAGCGCAACCCUUGUCCUAUGUUGCCAGCGCGUAAUGGCGGGAACUCAUGGGAGACUGCCGGUGAUAAACCGGAGGAAGGUGGGGACGACGUCAAGUCAUCAUGGCCCUUACGGGUAGGGCUACACACGUGCUACAAUGGUCAGUACAAAGGGUUGCCAACUCGCGAGAGUGAGCCAAUCCCAUAAAGCUGGUCGUAGUCCGGAUUGGAGUCUGCAACUCGACUCCAUGAAGUCGGAAUCGCUAGUAAUCGUGGAUCAGAAUGCCACGGUGAAUACGUUCCCGGGCCUUGUACACACCGCCCGUCACACCACUGGGAGUGGGCUGCAAAAGAAGUGGGUAGUUAACCUCGGAGGA
rnacentral:rRNA from 1 species